rnacentral:rRNA from 1 species
UACAGAGGUGGCAAGCGUUGUUCGGAAUUACUGGGCGUAAAGGGCGCGUAGGCGGUUUCGUAAGUCCCGUGUGAAAGCCCCCGGCUCAACUGGGGAAUUGCACGGGAAACUGCGAGGCUUGAGUUCGGGAGAGGGAAGCGGAAUUCCGGGUGUAGCGGUGAAAUGCGUAGAUAUCGGAAGGAACACCAGUGGCGAAGGCGGCUUCCUGGGCUAAUACUGACACUGAGGUGCGAAAGCGUGGGGAGCAAACAGG